ensembl:lncRNA
GGGACAUGACACGCUGCUUCUGCUCUGAAGACAGAUGGGGCACUUGGGAAAGAAUGUGGGUGGCCUCUAGGGCUGAGUGUGGCCCAACCCAUGGCCAGAAAGGACACAGGACAUCAGACCUACAGCCUCCGGGAGGCAGAUUCUCCCACAGAUGAGAGCCCCGCUGGGGGACACCUGGCUUUUUGCCUGUAAAACCUGCACAGAGAACCCAGUCAAGCCUGGAUUCAGAUUUCUGGCCCACGGAGCUGUUGGUGGUCAGUGGGUGUUAUUGUAAGCUGCUAAGUGUGUGGUGACUUGCUAUGCAGCAGGAGACAGGAACCGGCCUCUGCUCUGGAUGAGGUUGGGGAGGCUGCUGAGAGAGGGGUCGGGUGAUUCUGUCUCUUCUGCCAGAACAUUUCCAUCCUGUGUUCAUCCACGCCAUCUACCAGAGCUCCUGGUCCCUGCCCAUGACAUAAAGACACCACAAUGAGCUGGAUGUGGGGGCCACCGGCUCCAGAGGCUAAGGGAGAGUGGACCUGUGCCGCUCUGUGCUCAACCAGUUCACCGAAGAGCCGGCAACCAGGGUUUUUUUCCCCUCUGUGUAGUUGCCUGCUGCUGUUGUCACAAAUUACCGCAAACUCGAUGACUUGAAACAACGCAGAUUUACCAUCUGAGGUCAGAACUCUAGGAUGACUGGCCGACAUAUUCCUUCUGAAGGCUCUAGAAUCGAAUCCACCCUCUGGCUUUUCCAGCCUCUGGAGGCACCACGUCCCCUGGCUCGUGCCUGCCCACCCCCCCAUCUUCAUCUUCAAGGCUGGGAGCCCAGCAUCUUCUCUGUGACCUCCUCCCUCCUGCAAGGACACUGGGACUGCACAUAGGCCCCCUGGAUGCGCCGGGAUCAUCUCCUCCUCUCAGCAUCCUGCCCUUCAUCACAGCUGCAAAGUGUCUUUUGCCAAGUAAGGUAAACACUCACAGCUUCCGAGGAUUAGGACAUGGAGGUGAUGGGGGCCCUUGUUCCAUUUACCACACUCUCACCCUGAUUUCUAAUCUGGUGGUUUCCACACUUUCAAACAUAUUACAAUUUUUUUUUUUUUUUAAGGCAUGAUCCAACAUAUGUAAUUAACAGUCUGGGCUCUGCAGCCAAGCUGCCUGGAUCCAAGCCCUGGCCCCACCUCCAGUCUGUGCUUCCUUGUCCAGACGCCUGACUCUCCACACCUCUACCUCCUCUCGGCACCGAGGGGGUGGUCAUUUCCUGUGGACGCACCCACAGCCAGACAGACCCUCAGUCACACCUCAGCCGCCGCUCUGUUUAAGGGGAACACCUCGUGGCCUUCCCCUCCAGCACCAGCCUUCCCACACAGCCAGCACAGCGACCAUCUGCAGAUACAAGUCUGCGGGCCCAGUUGCCUGAGAUCGGGAUUCAUUCAGAAAUAUGAAAAAUGUGCUCUCCGGUUGGUUCUCAAGCAUUUUCCCUCCCUUUCUGCCCUUGUCCGCGAGGUGGACAGCAGCUGGGCUGUGGGUCAAAGAAACUGCCCUGUGAGGGCUGCUUCUCAGGGAAUCCGGGACCCCAGCUGUCCUCUGGGUUGGGAAAGCAAACGGUCGGGCUUCCCAGGAACUGGUGCAUCGUCAGAAGAAAACCAUCCCAUAACCGGUUUGUGUUUCCUUUGCCUCUGCGGCCCCAGCGUCCUCUGACCUUGGCAGCACCAGGAUUAGAAGAGGGGGCCCCACCUCCCUUCUCAGCUCCCUCCCUCCUGACCAAUUCCUCUUUCUCCAUUAACGUCUGCGGGUGAUGAAACGAGACCCCUCAGAGAAGUGCAUGAUGGAAGUAAGUCUCCUCCAGCCCAGCUCUUCAGGGCACCAGACCCACCUUCACAGAGCUAAGCAGGGUUGUCUGCUUCUGUGUCCAUUUUCAGAAAGAAUCUCUAUCCACCUCCGUGUGCUCAGGCAUAGAUAUGUGUGUGUAGCCCAUGUUCACAUGUGCCCAUGUGUGUGUGCAUGUUUGCAGGACAUCAUACAUUUCUCACAGAAGCAGGACCAUCCAUCUUGCUCUUUUUCAUUCGUUCUUUUUCAUUUAUCCUGGAGACCGUUGCAUGUCGGCUCAGACCACCCAGCCCUUCUUGUGGUCUGUCUGCUCAUUGUCAGUAUGUGGGUGCCGAGCUGUAGGUACCAGCCUCCCUCCUGGGAGAUGUCAGACCUGUGUAGUAAACACAGCUUCAUGGAAAGGGGCUUCUUGCACGCCUGUUCAGCACCAGGGGGGCCAGAGAGACUGGGAUCCAGUCCUCAGACCACAGUCCUUGUGUCCUGCCAGAGGUCACCCAGCAAGAUGGAGAUAUGAAGUAGGAACGCCCUUGUUGUAGUUCGGUCACUAAGUUAUGUCCGACUCUUUGCUACCUCAUGGACUGCAACACUCCAGGCUCCAGCAAUCUCCCAGAGUUUGCUCACGUUCAUGUCCAUUGAGUUGGUUCUUGUCACCCUGAAACAACCCUCUGCACCCUCUUCAGUCUCCACGACACCAGAAGGGACUUCAACCCCCUCCAGUCCACCCACCUGGCCACCCACCCCCAGCACAACAUAGCCAGCUCAGGUACCCACAUCUCAGAUUCCCAGAGAUGGACCCCCAGGUGUGUUUUUCAAAGCAGAAAUGGCUGCAGAGUCAGGAGAGGCCACUCUCGCCACUGGAC